GAAUUGUUCACAAUGGGCGCAAGCCUGAUGACGCAACGCCGCGUGGGGGAUGAAGGUCUUCGGAUCGUAAACCCUUGUCGAACGGAAAGAAUGACUCGCGCACUAACACGGCGCGGGACUGACGGUACCGUUAAAGGAAGCCACGGCUAACUCUGUGCCAGCAGCCGCGGUAAUACAGGGGAGGCAAGCGUUGUUCGGAAUUACUGGGCGUAAAGGGCGCGUAGGCGGCCAUCUAAGUCAGACGUGAAAUCCCCCGGCUUAACCUGGGAACUGCGUCUGAUACUGGACGGCUCGAGUUUGGGAGAGGGAUGUGGAAUUCCAGGUGUAGCGGUGAAAUGCGUAGAUAUCUGGAGGAACACCGGUGGCGAAGGCGGCAUCCUGGACCAACACUGACGCUGAGGCGCGAAAGCUAGGGGAGCAAAC
rnacentral:rRNA from 1 species